rnacentral:misc_RNA from 1 species
UAGGAAAGUCAUAAAUAUAUAAAUUAUAUUAUAUAAUUAAUAUAAUAAUAAAAUAAAUUAUAUAUUUUAUUUAUAAUAUUAUUUCUUUAUAAGAUAAAUAUUAUCUAAUUAAUAAUUAGAUUGAAUAAUAUUUAUAAAGAAAUAUAUAUAUAUAUAAAAAAUCAUUAUAUAAAUUUAAUUAUAAUUUAAAUAAAUUUUAUAUAAAUUAAUAUAAUAUUAAUAAAGUAAUUAGUAUAAAUAAAUAAUAUGAAAAUAAAACUUAAUAAAUAUAUAAAUAUAGUCCAUAUAUAUAUAUUAAUAAAAAAAAAGUAAUAUAUAUAUAUAUAUUGGAAUAGUUAUAUUAUUAUACAGAAAUAUGCUUAA